UACACCCUGGUGCUUAUCAAGGCUGUGUUUUUACACUGAUUGUACUGAAAGAGGUGGAGUAAACCUAUACCAUAUACACCCAGCCUGGGUUCUUUGGCUGGUCUAUAUUAUGAUUGCGGUGAUAUGA